rnacentral:rRNA from 1 species
GAUCAUGGCUCAGGAUGAACGCUAGCUACAGGCUUAACACAUGCAAGUCGAGGGGCAUCAUUAUCGAAGCUUGCUUUGAUAGAUGGCGACCGGCGCACGGGUGAGUAACGCGUAUCCAACCUUCCCCUUAGUAGAGGAUAGCCCGGCGAAAGUCGGAUUAAUACUCUAUGUUGUAUUUUUGAGGACAUCUGACGAAUACCAAAGAUUUAUCGCUAAGGGAUGGGGAUGCGUCUGAUUAGCUUGUCGGCGGGUAACGGCCCACCGAGGCGACGAUCAGUAGGGGUUCUGAGAGGAAGGUCCCCCACAUUGGUACUGAGACACGGACCAAACUCCUACGGGAGGCAGCAGUGAGGAAUAUUGGUCAAUGGGCGUAGGCCUGAACCAGCCAAGUAGCGUGCAGGGAAAGACUGCCCUAUGGGUUGUAAACUGCUUUUAUGCGGGAAUAAAGUCAGGUACGCGUACCUGUUUGCAUGUACCGCAUGAAUAAGGACCGGCUAAUUCCGUGCCAGCAGCCGC